rnacentral:rRNA from 1 species
UAGGGAAUCUUCGGGCAAUGGGGGCAACCCUGACCGAGCAACGCCGCGUGAGUGAAGAAGGUUUUCGGAUCGUAAAGCUCUGUUGUAAGUCAAGAACGGGUGUGAGAGUGGAAAGUUCACACUGUGACGGUAGCUUACCAGAAAGGGACGGCUAACUACGUGCCAGCAGCCGCGGUAAUACGUAGGUCCCCGAGCGUUGUCCGGAUUUAUUGGGCGUAAAGCGAGCGCAGGCGGUUUGAUAAGUCUGAAGUUAAAGGCUGUGGCUCAACCAUAGUCGCUUUGGAAACUGUCAAACUUGAGUGCAGAAGGGGAGAGUGGAAUUCCAUGUGUAGCGGUGAAAUGCGUAGAUAUAUGGAGGAACACCGGUGGCGAAAGCGGCUCUCUGGUCUGUAACUGACGCUGAGGCUCGAAAGCGUGGGGAGCGAACAGGAUUAGAUACCCUGGUAGUCCACGCCGUAAACGAUGAGUGCUAGGUGU